rnacentral:rRNA from 1 species
AAACAAAGGGAGGCGAAGUGGUGACACGGAGCGAACCCCAAAAAUAACGUCCCAGUUCGGAUUGCAGUCUGCAACUCGAGUGCAUGAAGCUGGAAUCGCUAGUAAUCGCGGAUCAGAAUGCCGCGGUGAAUACGUUCCCGGGUCUUGUACACACCGCCCGUCACACCAUGGGAGUCGAUAACGCCCGAAGUCAGUGACCCAACCUUAUAGGAGGGAGCUGCCGAAGGCGGGAUUGAUAACUGGGGUGAAGUCGUAACAAGGUACC